UUUUUGGCCGUGUAGUCCUCGUUCGACGGGUGCUCCUGGAUUUCCGUUUUGAUGCCGUGGCACUUUUCGAAGUGUUGCUUGUAAAAUAGGUCAAAGUGGGGCAACAUGGAGCUGGGGUGGCGGAGGUUCAUCCUGGGGAAGGCCAUGGCGAAACAUGGGGGUAUUUAGCAUCGAUGGUGGGUAAUAUCGUGGUUUGUCUACAUCUGUGAGUCACUCGUUAUGCAACGAAAACGGUGUUCGUGGUUUAGCUUACCUGGAGUUUGUGAAAAUCGCCCGAAUUCUUCCAAGACUGGUCAAUUUUAUUGUGGGGAUAUAACCUUAAAAGUUGGUUUAGAAGUUUCCCGAAGUAACUUUGGUGAGGAUGGUUAGGGAAGAGAAGAGACGCGAUUUACGUUACGGGACGAUUUUAAAUGACAGUUUUGUAAUUAGCACGGGCAACCAGGAAUACACUGGUCUUCCACGUCACAUUUGGACUAGGCAACACACAAUACGACAGUGUCACAACAGCAUAUCUACAUAGUGUACCUAAAUAAUUCAUACAUAAUAUAAUCAGUGUGCACAAAAUAUCUGUAUCUAAAUACUAAAUUAAUGGCGCAGAUACAGAUACAUUUUUUUAUUUCACUUUUUUUUCAGUAGUUAUUAGUUGAGUCAUUGAUUAAAUACAUAUAGAUAGACCCAUGCUAUUGUUUGGAGCGAACAGGCCAACGGCCGGCGAACAAGAGAUGGCGCACCAACAGUCGGCCGUCAAACGCCGGCGAAAAGCUUGGACACCAAUCGCGCGCGUAGAUAACCCAAAUCGCAGCAACAAUACAUUUAAUAAAGCUACCACUCGACAGAGGGCGACGAAAACAAUGUGUAAAAAUCUCAUAGUAACCAUUUAUAUAAUUUGCAACGUUGCCAGAUGAGCCUAGCACAACUUUGCCGUUAUUUCUAGUCGAUUAGAUUUUAUUUCGUUUAAAAGUUU